CAUCCACUGCCUAUCGAUGAUAUCUAGCUGAGCAAAUUUUACGUAUUUGUGAGCACUCACUUUAGUUUUUCGUUAGGAACGGGACGUUUGUUCUGUUGCGCACCAAAUCUUUUCGGACUCAAUGCAAAUGCAAACGCUUUUGCGGCGUGUGUAGUGCAUUCAAAAUUACCAGAUACCCGACGGGAUCCAAAGUUCCCAGAGCAGUGGCCCAGGAAUUUAUGAGACCAGCAGUCAGCGGACACGGAAGAAACUCGCGCCUGGGUGGACAAAUAUCGAUCUGUGACGCGGUUUAAACCAAGGCUGCACGACACUUCGAGGGCUUUUAUGUGAUUAUUACUAUGAAAUUGGAUGAAAUAGUUGCAUGGUACCAGAAGAGAAUCGGCACCUAUGACAAGCAAGAAUGGGAAAAGACCGUCGAGCAGAGGAUCUUGGACGGCUUCAAUAAUGUCAAUUUAAAAAACACUAAGCUGAAGACGGAGCUAAUCGAUGUGGACUUGGUGCGAGGUUCCACGUUCCCUAAGGCCAAGCCCAAGCAGUCGCUACUCACCGUCAUACGUCUGGCCAUUCUGCGCUAUGUCCUGCUGCCCCUCUAUGCCCAGUGGUGGGUCAAGCAGACCACGCCCAACGCCUUCGGCUUCAUCCUUGUCCUCUACCUCACACAGUUAACCAACUGGGCUAUUUACGUGCUUCACAGCAGUCGCAUAGUGCCCCUUGUCUAUGAAAAACCGCCAAAUGGAACCCUGCUUGAGGCAGAGGCAGAUGGAGAUGUCUCCGAUAAGGAUGCAGAUAAGGAGUCCGAGGAACAUGCCGCCCUCCUCAGCGCCCUGCUUAUUCCGUGUGCCCUAAGCCUGCUGAUCAGUCUAAUCCACUCACAGAUUGUAGCCACUAACACCGCCUCGGGCGUCUCUGGCGGGAGUAGCAAGAACAAACUGCGUCGAAUAUCGGCAAGCUGCUUAAGUGACAAAGCCGCAACCAGGGAGAACCGGGUGCGACGCCGCAAGAAGUUUGUGCGAGUUCGACAAGUGGAGGCUGACUUGUCCCAGGCCAGCAGUAACAUUUCACUUCCAAGAAGAACCGCAACCAGCGCCAUCGAAGUGCUUCCCAGACCGGUCACGCCCUUGCCUUCACCAAGCGUUACCUGUGCCACGGUGCCAGAACCCACCACGCCUACUACACCUUCGCCCUCUGUUAUAAAGCGGAGCAGCAACGAGGAGACCUAUUUGACAACGACUGCAAUAAGCCCACUAUCGCAACCGCUGGCAGCCACAGACGCAUGCUACGAUCUCAGCAGAAAGGCAGGGGGAGCUGCUCCCGAAAGCCCCAAAAAGCGCAACGUCAACUGGCACACGCCUAUUCAGAUCUACGCAACCUACGAGCUGGGCGAAGAGCCUUGCUCGAGCAGAAAAGUUGCAGCAGAAAGUGCCGUGUCGGUCGGAGAAAGUGUGUGUUCCGUCAAGCCAGCCUACCAGACGCGCCGAAACAUCGGGGAGGACGAUGGCUUCGAGAGUCUGAAUGGAAAGAGCUCUAGUGGAGAGGACAACAACCAUUCUCCUUUGCCAAACGCGGUGGCUGUUGCGGCUCCACCAGUUCCUGUUCAGACCAAUCAGUUGCGUCUGCGAUUAAACACAGCAAACGCCGUGACUGUUAGUGCUUCUCCAACCGAGAAGAAACCCCAGUCGCGCGGCAAUGAAUCCUCAACGAGUUGCGCCGAAUCGGAUGAGUGCGAUGAUGCCGACAUUAUGUCCAGUCCCGCCUCGGGCUGUAACCAAGAGUGCACCACUUCUGCCACCGACUGGCUGGGGGUGACGACAAAUAGCGAAGACUGCAGUUACACCUCUGAUCUAGAUCACUCUGACGGGGGCUUGAAGCACACGGCCUGUAGCGACGAAGAUCCUGGAGAGCUGGAUAUCACCCCUACCACUAUACUAAAUCCACAUAGCAGCCUGGACCGUACUGCACCAUUUGGGAUCAGCGAGAUGCCAAAAAGGCGCAGCUAUCCGUGCUGGAGAUAGCGUCUUGCAUAAUCGAACGCGUGGACUCAAUGGGCGAGACCAACGACUACAUCUACAUAGGCGUGGUCUUCUCAUUCAUGCUCACAUUGAUUCCCAUCUUCUGCCGUCUCUGCGAGGUCACACUCGGGAGCGAUGCAGAGAAGGCCAGUGAGAUUAGCUACUUCAACAUGCCGCAGCUGCUGUGGGAGAAGUCAUCGGCAUCGUUCUUCACCCUUCUGGGCUUUGCAUUCGGCGACACCCAGUGGGAGCGCACGGUAUUGGCUCUGGGCUUUGUCCAACGCCUUUGCCUGACCCUCAUACUGUUCAUUAUAUUCGCCGUUGCAGAGCGCACCUUCAAGCAACGCUUUCUUUACGCCAAACUCUUCUCCCACCUCACUUCGUCACGUAGGGCUCGAAAGUCAAAUCUUCCCCACUUCCGUUUGAACAAGGUGCGUAACAUCAAGACCUGGCUGAGCGUGAGGUCGUAUUUGAAGAAACGCGGACCCCAGCGAUCGGUGGAUAUCAUCGUUUCCGCCGCCUUCAUAGUAACCCUCCUGUUGCUGGCCUUCCUCAGUGUCGAGUGGCUGAAGGAUUCGGUUCAUCUGCACACACACCUUACCUUGGAGGCCCUAAUCUGGUCCAUAACGAUCGGGAUCUUUCUGCUGCGCUUCAUGACCCUAGGCCAGAAGAUACAGCACAAGUAC
rnacentral:misc_RNA from 1 species